rnacentral:rRNA from 1 species
GAUGAACGCUGGCGGCGUGCUUAACACAUGCAAGUCGAACGGAAAGGCCGAAGCUUGCUUCGGUCCUCGAGUGGCGAACGGGUGAGUAACACGUGGGUGAUCUGCCCUGUACUUCGGGAUAAGCUUGGGAAACUGGGUCUAAUACCGGAUAUGACGAUCUCUUGGAUGGGGUUGUGGAAAGCUUUUGCGGUAUGGGAUGAGCUCGCGGCCUAUCAGCUUGUUGGUGGGGUAAUGGCCUACCAAGGCGUCGACGGGUAGCCGGCCUGAGAGGGUGUACGGCCACAUUGGGACUGAGAUACGGCCCAGACUCCUACGGGAGGCAGCAGUGGGGAAUAUUGCACAAUGGGCGCAAGCCUGAUGCAGCGACGCCGCGUGGGGGAUGACGGCCCUCGGGUUGUAAACUCCUUUCGCAAUCGACGAAGCCUUUUGGUGACGGUAGGUUGAGAAGAAGCACCGGCUAACUACGUG